rnacentral:sRNA from 1 species
UCUGCAAGUUUAUAUCAGACAACUUCGCUUAGCUCUCCAGGGUAAAACGGGUGAGGCCUUAAAAACAGAAGAGAACAAGAUUAAAGUCGUUGCAUUGAAAAUAACAAACAAUAUCAAUGUUUUAAUCAAGGCAAAAGAGAGCCAGUGAAGAUACAACUUCAGGUUCACCACCCAAGAAAUCUUCAGCAGGACCAAAAAGAGAUGCCAGGCAGAUUUAUAACCCUCCCAGUGGGAAAUAUAGCAGCAAUUUGGGCAACUUUAAUUAUGGUGAGCGUUUCCGUUUGGGUACAAGGAAUAUGAGAGAUUAGGCAGAAAUUGUGUUAU